UUGUUUUGUAAUAAAAAAAUAAUUUUUAAUAUAUUUUUUAUUUUUAAAAAUAUUUUUUAUAUAAAUUAUAAAAAAUAAACAAAAUAAUGACAAAAUUCUAAGGAAUGGUUGGUUAAAUGUAUUAGCUAAAAAUUUUGAUAGAAUAAAACAUAAUUUUUUAAAAAUUAAAGAAAAUAAAUAAAUAUUUAUGGAAGUAUUUUUUGUGUUUAAGU
rnacentral:lncRNA from 1 species